UACGUAGGGGGCAAGCGUUGUCCGGAAUCAUUGGGCGUAAAGAGCGUGUAGGCGGUCCGGUAAGUCCGCUGUGAAAGUCGGGGGCUCAACCCUCGAAUGCCGGUGGAUACUGUCGGGCUAGAGUGCGGAAGAGGCGAGUGGAAUUCCUGGUGUAGCGGUGAAAUGCGCAGAUAUCUGGAGGAACACCGGUGGCGAAGGCGGCAUCCUGGACCGACACUGACGCUGAGGAGCGAAAGCUAGGGGAGCAAACGGG
rnacentral:rRNA from 1 species